GCAAACGUUGCUCGGAAUCAUUGGGCGUAAAGCGCGCGUAGGCGGCUGAACAAGUUGGAUGUGAAAGCCCUGGGCUCAACCUAGGAUGUGCAUUCAAAACUGUUCGGCUUGAGUCUCGGAGGGGGUCAGAGAAUUCUCGGUGUAGAGGUGAAAUUCGUAGAUAUCGGGAGGAACACCAGUGGCGAAGGCGCUGACCUGGACGAUGACUGACGCUGAGGCGCGAAAGCGUGGGGAGCAAAACAGGGAUUAGAUACCCUGGUAGUCCACGCCGUAAACGAUGAGUGCUAGACGCUGGCGGAUUGACCCCGUCGGUGUCGAAGCUAACGCGUUAAGCACUCCGCCUGGGGGAGUACGGGUCGCAAGACUAAAACUCAAAGGAAUUGGACGGGGGGCCCGCACAAGCGGUGGAGCAUGUGGUUUAAUUCGACGCAACGCGCAGAACCUUACCUGGGUUAAAUCCU
rnacentral:rRNA from 1 species